GACUUGGUGAUUGUAGAGGUCGUUUCCAACCUCAGUGAUUCUAUGAUUCCAUAAAUGCUGCGGCCUUUGGGGUGGCUGUUGCAAAGAGCACUGGAAAUGCUGUGGCUUGUUGGUGUCAGAUCUGCUCUUGUGCUGUUGAUUGGCUCAACGAACCUCUUAAAUGAUUUUGGGGAAGACCUCACUCCCCAGCACAGCCUUGCCACCCCUCUUUGCUUGCCAUUGCUCGGUAGCUUGGCUGAUGGCAGUGAUGCUGGAAGCCUGCUGCAGGCACAGCACGGUGUGCUCUCCAUUCCCAAGGGGAAAGCAGACAGCUGCAGCCUCACUGUGCACCACACACUGCCAGGGGGAGGCAGAGGCCGAGGCUCAGUGGGGCUGUGACAGCGUGAAGGCACGCAGUCAGGAUGCUGUUUACAUUAGUGACAAAGGUUUCCAUUGCUUAAUCAAUUGAGUUGAUUAGAGCUGAGAUUCUGUGUUUUCCCACAGGUCUCAGUCUGCAACUCGUUCAGGUUAACCUGUGUGUUUCAUCUCCUCACCCCACGUACUUUGCUCAUCGUUCUGUUAUCCACUCUCAUUUCCAAUUUCACACCAAUAUGCUCUUGACGUAUUUAUAAACGAAUUCUUAUGUCAAUCCACUAAAAAAACAACCAAAUACGUUCCAGUGAAAUAUUUCUCUACUCUGUCUCCUGUUGCUGUGACAGUCUUGAUUGCUACCGAGCAAAAAGGGUGGCAGAAGCUCGUGUCAGCACCAGAACAUCCUGCUUUCUGCAUGGUCAGUGCUGUGAAGAGCAUCCAGAGCCUGCUGCUGUCGUCUUGGCAGCGAUUUUAUCCAUACCGUGUUUUUGAUAGGCAAAUCUCAAAGGCUUCUACAGGGAGAAGUAAAUGAGAACACACGUGUGCUCGCUCAGCUGGGGAAGCUGAGGCACAGGAGUGCAGUGAUGAGCUGAGGAUGAAAACAGUUCCUUCCAGCUCUCUUAGCUGAGCUUUCCUCAGGGUGUUAGGGGCAGCUACAUCAGAACUUCACACCUCUCAGCAUAUCAUCUCUAGGCUUACCCUCUUCUCUGUCCAGCUGGGCAGGAUGAGGCUCAGCCUGGAACGAGUGAUGGUUUCUGUGUAAUUAGUCACCACUCAUCAGCUGGCCUCUAGUAGUUGGUUAUAAGAAGCUUGUUGUCUGUCCUUAGUAAAAUGGCAUGAGCCACAAGAAAGGAGCAUUAUUUCUUUGCAGUGGGUGGGGGAAAUGAGAAUGGUCUGUUAAUGUGAUCAGCUGACAGAUGGUAACUCACAGGGGAUAAUUAAGUGUUUGCUAGUACAGGAUGUCGAGUAUGUAACAACGCUGUCAGUAAAGACGUCAACACAAGAAGAGGACUGGGUGUGUGAUACGGCUCAGAGAGGACCAGAGCACGAGCUGACUGCAAGGUCAGGCUGUGCCCCUCUGCCUGCACGAUGCCUUCCUGUUGACCACCCUGCUUGGCUGAAGGAGAUGGAAAGUGGGAGAAGCAGAGGGUUCAGCCAUGAUGUCUGUCUGUCUGCCAGCUCCCUUCAGAAAGGUCCUGCUGGCUCCUGACUUGCCUCUUCUCAGAUCGCGAGCGCUGUAGCUUUGCUGUUCUUGAAGUGCGGUGCAGAUGAUGCAAGCCUUGCAGAAAUGGAGCUGCUUCUGUGGAGGAAUACAAGAGCUGAAAGUAGAAAGGAUUCCUACCUUCCAGGGCUGCUGUCCUGCAGGGAUGACUGGUGUAACCUAAGCUGGAGUGUCACAUCGCCUGGGCUCCAAGUGCUGCCACUGAUCGACCUCAGUUUUCCCACUGCUUAAAGGAGCGACGUGGAAAACCCUUUCCAAAGACCAGAGAUGGAGAUGCUCACCUGGACGGGGAGGGAUGUUAGCAGCAGGAGCAGAGUGGAGCAGAGGAGGAGGGAUGCUGAAAUGCAGGUGACUCUUAGCACUAAUUGUAUGCAGCAGAGCUGUCUGGGGGGAGGCAGAAGGAAGCAUAUCAAGAAUGUCUCAGCUAUUCAAGUGAGAAAUCAAAUUAAACUUUGUAUCAAAUAGUAGAGCUGUUCUGUGCUAGGAGUUAUGUCAAAUUCAUUAAAGGUUUCUACACACCAGUCCCCCCAGGAGUUAGCAAAGAGAAAAAACAACGCUUUGUGUCAGGGGGCUGUGCUUUCCUGCUUACCUGGAUGUGUUAAUGAUGUGGGUAGAGGAAGGGAGGAUAUCGAUUUAACCCUCAAGAUACAGGUGUGUGGAGCUGGGACUCCACAGCAGUGCUGUUUGUGUACUGCUGUCAGUGUCUGUCCGUGUGUCUGUGCUGCAUGGUGGAGGGUGAGAGCCAGGGACUAAAGCUGCAGCAGGCUGGAGGUGUAGAAGGUGCUCUUGUUCCCAGUCUCCUGCUAACAGACUGGGAGGUGGAGUCCCUUGGGUAUCCAGCAUGUCUGAGAGUGACCUGGAGGAGAUAGAAAUACCACCAUCGUGCAGCCAGACUUGCUUCUCGUUGGGCAUGAGUCCAUGCUUGUUCCAGGCAAGGAAAAGCUCUGGACAACACAUUGCUCCCUCCAUGGGGACAGAUUGUAUGGGGGCUGGAUGGAGCACAGGCUUGGCAGGAGAGAGCCUAGAGCUGGGAUGAGCUGCCAGUGCAGUGGCAGAAGAGUCUGCUGGGAACGUGUGAUCUGCAGCAUGCCAUGGGACUUCAGCUGCAGGAUGAGCUCCCAGAGUGGCACAGCACAGGCUCUGCAAAAUCCCAGGGGUUCAGCUUGUAGCUGCUUCUCAGAGUGCCUCAGUGAGGCACUCUGGAGAGCUGGCAGCUGUCUGAAGGUGAGGAAUGCUGAUCUUCAUCCACUGCAAGUGCUGAAUGCCAAAACCAUCUUGGGCUGAUGUGCUGAGGCCCAGGCUCUGCUAACGCUAUCUGAUAUUUUUUUUAUCAUCCCUGAUGCGUGUUGUGCUUUGACUUAGAUGCACUCAAGUGUGAGUUUGAUAUUUAAAAGUCAUUUACAAUAUUGCUGCUGUGCUGGCAGGAGAAAUUAGUCUGACCCUGGGAUGUACAAAUCCUCAUUUUGGAGUAGAGCAACCUGAGACAGGCAAGGCUGAGUCUGCUCAGGUGCUGUGCCUACUGCUAGCUCUGCACCAGGGCUCUGCAGCCAGCUCAUUGCCUUUCCUCCCUUUUCUUUUUGUUAACUUGUAAGGAUUUUUGUUUUUUAGUCAAAUUUAAGAUGCUAAACCUCAAUUAAGGCUACGUGUAUUAAUUUCCAAGAUGUAAUUUGUUUACAGAACAUUCCCAUUCACAGCAGCAAGCGCUGAUAAUUGCCACGGUGUGCUUUCCAGCCUUGGAUUUGAUACAGCUGAGAGCACAUGAAGGUGGCUCCCAGGUGGGCAGUGCUGGCUCCUGGGUGGGAACAUGAGGAGCUUACCUAGGAGCUGACUCUGACCUGGGCACCUCUGCUUUUGCCCAAAGCACUCCUUGUCCUGGGAUGUGGAAAUGAGCCUGGCUGUGCCUCUUCCCUCUUUUGUCUUAACUCAGCUGUCCUGUGAUACCUUUUGCUGUCUCUGCCCCCAGCAUGAUCAUCCUGCCCCAGCAUUCCUGCAAGGCCAAACAAACUGCAGUGUGUGUGCUCCUGGAGACAGAACUGCAGAAAAUCAAUGGGGCCAGAAGAACAGUGCAGAGCUGUUGCUCUGAGCUGCAGUGAUGCUGUACUGAAGCUUUGACGUGCAGAGCUCUGUGUCCAAUUCCUCCGAAGCACACUGUUCCAUCUACCUUUGAGAUGCCAGCUCUUCCAGGGUGAGGUGGGCUGUGCAGCAGAGCUGUCCCUGCUCACACUGUAAUCCUCAGCCCUCAGCUGUCAGCGUCUUGGAUGAGUUCUUGGAGGGUAUCCAGACAAACACAGGAGAGAUUUCAACUGCUACGAUCCCCUGUCCUAUUUUAUCUCAUUUCUGACAGCCCAAGUCUGCUGAGGCUGGGAAGGUGGUGAGAAGAGGAGAGCAGCUUCCUGCAUUUGUGGAUGGAGAAGCACUUCUUGCUCUGACAACCUGCUUGCUUCUGCCUGUUUCCUGCACUACUGAUGGAGUGUCUCUUGCCUUUUAGAUUAGCUGCAUCUUCAGGAGAAUGUCCCAGAUGGCUCUUUAGGGAAAGAAAUCAGAGACUGAUCGGUGGCCAAAAAAAGUCUCUCAUCCAGUAUCAAAGCUUUAGCUGCACCUUAUGCUUCCCAAGGACAGCUUGGAAAGGGCACAGUGGAGCUGCUCCUGUUCCUCUUGCACAGGGCUCAGGGUAUCUAGAGAAAUCUUGUGUUUCCAGGUAAGGAUGUGCUGGAUUUACAGUUGCCUACCACUGUUAAUGCAUCCUUGUCUGUGUGAUCAUGUGAAGGUAAGAUCUGCAGUGACCACAUCACCUGCUGUUAUUCUUUUCCACGCUGCUCCAGGAUGUUUUUCCUACACUAUAUUUUUGCAGUCAUUUUACUAAGGCUUUUUCAUACAGAGGAGGAAAAUGGAGGCAGCUCUGCAAUUUACCAAGCAACCCGCUGGGGAGCAGAGCCUUGUGGCAGCAGCAUGGCAGUGGCUUUGGAUGGCAGCGGGUUUGGGGUUGGGAUUGGAAGAGGAGAGCAUCUCCUGGCCCCCCUUGCUGCAAAGGGGGUGCAGAGCUGCUCGUGUCCAGCAGAACACAAGGACAAGCUGUGCAUAACGCCUGUACUGUAAGUGGCUGAAAUCAGUGGGUGGUUUUACCCAAAGAGGGCAGUGCCGUGCCACGUUCCUCCCCAGUUUGUAAGGCGAGAACAGUGAGCAUCAAGGAUUUCUUGAGGGGGAAAAUCACCGUGGCUCAUGAUGAGGCAGUUGUUUUCCAGAGGUGUAGCAAUUACCUCGAAACAAAACAAAACCAAAGCAGAAACAACAACAGCAGAAAACCUUGCAAGUAACUGUCACACAAAUGCCUGUUCUGUCUUCCGCUUUUCUCACCAACUUAGGCAAAAGUACAGAGCCGUAGUGCUGCCCAACUUUAAAGCACUUCUCCUAUCUGUAUUCCUGCCCUGACUCACUGCAAGGACAGCUGUGAGCUCUCCUCUCUGCUGGAGGACAUCCCCCCUUAGCUCCCCUGGAGCUGUUGGUCCCCAUUUCUGUCUCUAGCAGCUUUCCCAUCACCCCACCCCAGGACUGUUUCUGCAGGGAAAUGCUGCUGUUGGAAAUUUGGCUCACUCUGGGACAAAGUUAGGGCUGAGCAGCUAUUUACACGUUGGCAUGCUGCUGUCAGAAGUGGGGACUGAGCCCCUUUCUCUAUAGGGAGGAGGAGGGGUCCCACAGGCACUGCUGGAGGCUGUGAGUUGCGUUCAUACUGCAUGCUUGCCCUUUGGGGAUAUAUGGGAACAGAGAGGUUUUGCUGUCUGUGGAAGGAAAGACUUCAAACAGCAACGAGCCAACGUUGCUGUUUCCAGAGGAACAGCUCUUGCCAUGCUGGGCAAUUGGCUGAAAGAGGUGAGUAGGGCUUUCCUUAGGGGUUAAAAGCUCUAGCUCUGGUUAGGUAUAUUCAUGUGGGCUUUUUCCCUUUCGAAGAAGGCAGAUGAAAAGGGCUCUGACUCCUUUAAAUAGAUCUGCACUUCCUCCACCAGCAAGGAGCUCUGUUAGGAUUGCUUGCUGCUCCUUUCCGCCCAGCAAGGACAGCUGCCAGUUUAACUCUUAGCCCUCACAUUAACAGCAGAGGGGCUGAAAUGAAGAGUGUUUUCCCUCGGCAGCUAUCGAGAGGAAGCAGUUUGCUGCUGCUUGCUGGUUUGUAUUUAUUCUGCUAGUCAAAGCAUAGAAGCACGCGUGGGUGCGAGGUACAGCUGGUGCUUGGAAGGCCCUGGGUUGCUGGAGGGGCACGGAGGGUCCUGGGAGCAUCGCCUCUGAGCAGGCUCCAGCUGGCUCUGAGCUCGGUUACCCCACAACUCCUGCUGCCUCCCGUGGCUUUCGGGCACCGACGUGAGCAAGUGCUGCUGCCAGCUCGGAGCUGCUGCCCUGGCUUAACGUGGGAAGGCAGGAGCAUCUGUCCCCCACUGCUUUCCUAUUAGCAGGCUGCUAUAAGGCAAAAAGCCAUCUGCCUGCAGAGGUUGGGGUUUGUGAUAUUUGCUAACCCAGGAAAACACUGCUACAGGAAGGCAGUCAGGCAUGAAGGAUGAGAGAUCCUCUUUCUCAGAGUUCACUGAAAUGGGAAUUUCCUGCAGGUUGCUUUCCCAUUGACCAGAGGGAAAUCAGACCUGUGGUUCAUCUGUACGCCCUUCUUAGUGAUGCUGAAGAGACUCAAAAUGUGGUGAUGGCCCCACGUUCCUUCCUGGAGCGUGCUCUUCCUCAAGUGAUGUACCCAAGACGGGCUCCAGACUGGUUUCCCUCUCAAUCCAGCAUGCUGCCUGCCUGCAGUGCUUUCCCCUGGAGCAUCCUUGAGCCUGUCUAGAAAAACAAGCGAAGGAUGAAAAAUCAGAGUAAUGGCCAAGGAGACGACAUCCAUUGGCUUCUCUUGCCCGUGGUGUGAGCGAUUUAUCUAGCUAAGGCAUUGCAGUGGAGUGAGGCCAGGAGCAGGAGGACGGCGCUGCGGCGGCAGCAUCAAGGUGUGCUACCCCCCUCUGUGCUGCCUUUGAUUUGCUUCCAGGAGGGAACUCUGCUCCCCAUUCCAUGCAGGCCCGGUGCUGGCUGGCAGAGCAGCGGGAGCCCUGCUGUAACUAAUGAGAUGUUUGCUGCUCGCUGCCUGACACUGCGGUGGGUUCUCAGUGUGCCUGAGCCCUGUGCUGAUAAACCGAGCCUCCCGGAGAUGGAGCGGCUUCCCUCAGCUACAGGCCUGCUGUGUUCACUCUUAUCUAAUAGGAUCUUUCCUCUGAGCUCUUCGUAAGCCUCCUGUGUAGCAUACCAAACCACUGAGGUUUGAUCCUGCAGAGAAGCAGAGUGAAAGCAGACCUGAGUGUCAGCUGCCCUCCUUUGGGUCACUAUGGGACAGGACACACGCUCAUGGGGGGUCUGUGGGUUCCUUGUGGCUCUGGAAGGUGUCCGAGAAGGGAGGUUUUCCCCCCAGCCAAACAUUUAUCCCCUCCUUGCUGCCGUUGCUGAUUAGGGGAUGGGUGUCUGUCUCUCCCCCGUUAUUUAUUAUGCUGUAAAAGCCAAGGUAAUGUACAUCAGUAAACGCUGUGAAGGGUUUCACACGUGUCAGCUGUGCGUACUUUAUGGAGCAGACACUCUUUCAAGACAACGGGCUCCGUGUGGGGAGGAUGCUGUGAUUAAUGCUGCAGCGUUCGGCUGGCUGCUUCCUCCCUGCUGCCACACUGAGCUGAUUUCCCAGGGUGCCCCGAAAAUGUGCAUGAAGCAGCGUGGGACAGAGGGGAGGGGAAAGCUCUGUGCCUCCUGUUGGCAGGAGGAUGGGCAGAGCACACAAGGAGAAGUUUCUUCUCCAAAAAAGCGGCGAUGCAGUGGCACAGCUGCCCAGGGAGUGCUGAGCUCGCUGUCCCUGCAGGAGCUCCAGAGCCGUGGGCAUUUGGCACUGAGGGAUGUGGGCAUGGUGGGGUGAGCUGGAAAUUCGUUUUGGAGACGGUCAGACCCUUUCCUGUAGGCACCUGCCUGUUGCAGGAGACGUCCUCCAUCUCCACGAGUUACUCUGGGCAGAUCCAGCUCUCCUGCAGGAUGCUCUCAGUAGUUGCUCUUCGCUGGUUCUGAGGAUUUCUUUCUCCCAACACUUGUAGGUGAUUGCUUCCUCCUUCUCCUCCGCCUUCCUUUUGUCUCUCUGCAGCACGACAGGUCUGGGAAGGGCCAUCUGCCGCUGUGAUUAAUGGCCCUUUUCUGGCAAAACAACAGAGACAAAUGUCCUUCUGAGCACGGCAGAAAGAAGCGCAGAAACAAGCUGGCUAAUUUUCAGCCAUUAUUUUGGAACCCAAACUCCUUCCCAGUAUCAAUUUAGCUAUUAUUUCAAAAACUAAUUAAUCCUCACUCAUGCAGCUCCGAGGGACCAGUGUUUAGAUAAUUAACAGCCCGUGGAUUAUGACAAGCCUUGCUCUCGGAUCCUGUUACAGCACUUGCCUUCAAGUACACUCACGCUGUUGUUCUGCUUACCAAGUCCUUUCAUCAGUCCAUCUUUUUUUUUUUUUUUGACAAUUAAUAACAAAUAAUUAGCCAGGAUGGAUUCUAUUUGCUUUCUUGCAGCUCAGCUUCAUUUUGCAGGACUGAAGUGUUCUUCAGCUGCGCAGGCUUGUAGUGAUUUUGGAGCUAAUUACAACCAAGCAGGAUAGGUCACUGCCAUUACCAGCAUCUGGAAAAGGGAGUUCUUAUUGCUCAGCUCCUCAGUAAGUGACAUGAGGUGUGAGAAGGGAGGUGCUUCUGUGAGGUUGUUGAUACCUCUCCAUCCUGAGCUUCCAUCCCAGGAGAAUGUCUCUUCAAACUGCCCAAAGCUUCUCUUCUGCCGCUGCUCUGAACUCCUCUUAGGAGGUUUCUGCCUGUGAACAGAUUUGUCUUUUCUAACUUUGCUCAGGAAAGCUUUAAUUACAUGAGGAGUUUUCAUCUUACCUUUCAAAGAGGUGAAGCUCGGUCUCAGCCUUUUUCCCUACGAGAUGCAGGUCUCUGGCUGGCAUCCCCUCUCUCCAUGCUGAUGGGUGCCUGGAAGACGCCCUGGAAGCAAGGCUGGGAGAACACCUGUGGUCCCUGCACCUUCUGCCCACUGAGCAAAAGCAGAGCGAGGGGCCCAAGCUGCCCCGGUUCCUGAGCUGGCUCUGCUUGGGGCAGCACGAGGGCAUCCAUCAGGUUGUGCUGGUUUGAAACAGCUGAGCAUGGAUGCAGACUCACUCCUGGUUUCAGGCAGAAGGAAAUCCUUUCUGAUAAGCUGCUACUGUUUCAAACCAAUGAUAAAUCUCUGCAGGUAGAACUCCCUGUGCUAGCAGUUUGACCCCAAUGAAGUAUUUACCAGGAUGGCAACUCACUCUGCCUCGGGAAAUACUGUCCUUUCACCUGUGUGCAGCUCUCCUUUCUUUUGCAAAGCCCAUGGCUUAAGGAGAGCAUCAAAGCAGCCAGCAAUCCUCUCCCCACCUUCCCAGUCUCUCCCCGUUCCCUCUGCAGAUGCAGUUUGCCAGAGACCCUGUGGCUCUGCACCUUGGAGGGCAAAGAGCUUGCAGGAGAGCUGCACAUCUUUGUGUUUGGGAUGCUGUGUCCUCUUAGCAGCAAUCAGAGAGCAGCAACCCGGGACCAGGGGAAUGGUGAGCCUGGUGGAAAUGCCACUCAUGCUGGCUGUGAGCAACGGAAAUAGAGCAAGGGGCUGCUGCUGCCCCUGGUGUGUGCACCCUGAGGUGAUGGAGGCAUCUUCAGAAUUGAGCUUUUUGGGAAGGUUGCACUCUUUUGUCCAUGUUUUAAUGAUUUGUU